rnacentral:rRNA from 2 species
UUUAACGGCCGCGGUAUCCUAACCGUGCAAAGGUAGCGCAAUCAAUUGUCCCGUAAAUCGGGACUUGUAUGAAUGGCUAAACGAGGUCUUAACUGUCUCUUACAGGCAAUCGGUGAAAUUGAUCUCCCUGUGCGAAAGCAGGGAUGCACACAUAAGACGAGAAGACCCUGUGGAACUUCAAAAACAGCGACCACCCCAAAAUACAUCUACCCCCACCCCGGGCUCACUUAUCCCACGGGCUACUGGUUCGCAUUUUUUCGGUUGGGGCGACCUUGGAGCAAAACAGAACCUCCAAAAAUUAGACCAAACCUCUAGACUGAGAGCAACACCUCUACGUGCUAAUAGCACCCAGACCCAAUAUAAUUGAUCAAUGGACCAAGCUACCCCAGGGAUAACAGCGCAAUCUCCUCCGAGAGUCCAUAUCGACGAGGAGGUUUACGACCUCGAUGUUGGAUCAGGACAUCCUAGUGGUGCAGCCGCUACUAA